rnacentral:rRNA from 1 species
CCUACGGGAGGCAGCAGUGGGGAAUAUUGGGCAAUGGGCGCAAGCCUGACCCAGCAACGCCGCGUGCAGGAAGAAGGCUUUCUGGUUGUAAACUUCUUUUCUGAGGGACGAAGACCGUGACGGUACCUCCGGAAUACGCCACGGCUAACUACGUGCCAGCAGCCGCGGUAAUACGUAGGUGGCAAGCGUUAUCCGGAUUUAUUGGGUGUAAAGGGCGUGUAGGCGGGAAAGCAAGUCAGAUGUGAAAACUCAGGGCUCAACCCUGGGCCUGCAUUGGAAACUGUUUUGCUUGAGUGCUGGGGAGGCAAGCGGAAUUCGGGGUGUAGCGGUGAAAUGCGUAGAUAUACGGAGGAACACCAGUGGCGAAGGCGGAUUGCUGGACAGUAACUGACGCUGAGGCGCGAAAGCGCGGGGAGCAAACAGGAUUAGAUACCCCAGUAGUC